ACUUGGUGAUGUGGGCAUUUACUUAUAGGUCCCUAAAGCGCUACCAUGUUUCAAAAAUUUGCUAACCAUCAAUUUGGGAGAAACUGGUGAUUUCCUUCCUUAGUU